AGAAGAAAAUUACAACGCAUUUCUACCUGAUGUUUUUAGGUAGUGGCUAGUGCUGCUGGUACUAUAAGAAUGGAUAUAAAUAUACGUACAAAGAAAACAAAAAGAACACAACAACAGAUUCAUCUCCUCAUCAAAUCAAACAUCUUCAACAACGAGUCAACGACCCAUUACUAGAAUCUCCCAAGAAAUUAUCAACACUCUCUUAAACACAAAACGCAACAACUCAGUCCAAUAUUAAAACAAACCCAUGCUUUAGUUAUCAGAAAUGGUUUAUCUGAAGAAAAUUUCAUUGCUGGUUCAUUGGUUAAAUGUCACUCAAACCCAUACUUCAAUGGUUUAUCCAUUGCACUCUAAGUGUUCACCUCUAUUCCUCAACCACAUCCUUUCUUAUGGAACUCAGUGAUUAUAGGUUGUCUAGAAAAUCAUGACCCUAAGAAAGCAAUAUCUUUUUAUAUUGAUACAACGGUGUUUAGUUCUGCGGGUAAUAAGUUUACUUAUCCGCCUUUGUUCAAGACUUCAAGGCGUGUAAAGUGGCAAAGAGAGAUUGAUGUUGGUGUUCAGAUUCAUGGGCAUAUUUUUAAGUAUGGACUUGGAGGAGAUUGUUAUAUUGCGCGUGCUGGUAUAUUGCGGAGAAUGCUUCAUAAGAGCGAGCAUGAGGCUGACGUUAUCUGUUGGAAUGCAAUGAUCGAUGGGUAUUUGAAAUGCGAGGAUUUGGAUUCUGCUAUUGGUUUGUUUGAGAGUAUGCCGGAUAAGAAUAAUGGGUCUUGGAAUGUUAUGAUUUCUCGGUAUGCCAAAGCUGGGGAGAUUGAAAUAGCUCAAGAGUUUUUUAACAAGAUGCCUGAAAGAGACGAUGUCUCUUGGAGUGCGAUAAUUUAUGGGUAUAUAAAGGGAGAUUAUUUCAAGGAGGCGUUGAGGGUUUUUCAUGAAAUGCAGAUGAAUGGAGUUCGACCGAGGAGAUAUGUACUUUCUAGUGUUUUAGCUGCCUGUGCGAACGUGGGGGCUCUUGAUCAAGGUAGAUGGAUUCAUGCUUGUGUUAAAAAAGAAUUCUAUUAGUAUUGACGCGAUUUUAGGUACAUCUUUAGUUGAUAUGUAUGCGAAAUAUGGGUGAUUAGAUAUGGCAUGGGAUGUUUUUGAAAAAAUGAGAAGGAAAGAAGUGUUUACUUGGAGUGCAAUGAUAGGAUGACUAGCUAUGCACGGGAGAGCUGAGGAUGCCAUUGAAUUGUUCUUGAAAAUGGAAAAGGAUAAGGCUAAACCAGAUGGAAUCACAUUUGCCGGUGUCUUGAAUGCUUGUGCUCAUUGCAGGAAUCAGGAUUUACCGAAAAAGGACUUCACUUCUUUGAUGCUAUGGAAAAUGUUUACGGAAUAUAACCGAAAGUGGAGCAUUUCUGUUGCGUGGUUGAUCUGCUUGGUAGAGCAGGGUUCUUAAAUGAAGCUGAAGAACUUAUGAAAGCAAUGCCUAUACAACCUGAUUCUGCAGUUUGUGGGGCGCGUUUAGGUGGUUGCAGGAUUCAUGGAAAUGUUGAGUUGGGUGAGAAGGUAGGGAAGCUUUUACUUAAGAUGGAACCAAAAAAUAGUGGUAGAUAUGCCCUGUUAUUAAACAUCUAUGCAAAAGCAGGUAGACGAGAUGAUGUUGCAGAAGUGCGGAAAUUGGUGAAAGAUGGAGGAAUCAAGACAAUCCCAGUGUUAUCAAUUCGAUCUUCACUUUUCUACAAAGAGAGUGGCAGAGACAAUUGAGGGGAGCCCCAAUAUCAGUGGAAUGCGAGAGUUUGAUUGUAUCCUGCGGGCGCAGACAAAAAAACCCUUGUAAGUAAUAUUAUUCUUAGGAUUUUAAUCGAAACAGGUAUAAGAAUGCAGUUGGUUUAUUUUUGGCUCUUAUUCCUUAUAAUGAAUCCAAGCAGAUUUAUUCUAUUGAUUGUGAUUCUUUACCACAGUUAUUGUUUUCUAAUGAAGCAGUAAAACUACAGAAUGUGAAGUUAGAAUUCGGCCUACUCGUAACUGGUUGAUUUGCUUAGCUAUCUUGAAGUCAGGACGUUAUAAUUCAUGGAAAUGUAUUCAACAGAUCCCAUAUGUUUCAUAAAUUUGUAAUCUGUUGGAAUUGAGAAGAGUAGAAGAAACACAUUGUAAGCUUUUGCGUUUCUGGUUAAUUUCGUUUGCGGGACCUGGAAAGUUCACCUGUUAAACUAUCAAGUAUACUACACACAGAUUACAUGCAUAUUGUCGAAGUGUCUGUCAUCUUUUGUACAAUCGUCAUGAACAGUCUCGUAACUGAAACAAAAGUCUUAUGGUGCUGGAAUUACUGCUGAGCUAGUUGGUAAGCAGCAAUAUUUUGUUCAACGCGAUUGCAAUGUUUUCGUUUAGGUAAUGUUUAUGAGAUCAAUGACAGAGUUUUGUUCCAGCUUUAUGGUAACUGAACUGCUGUUUGGGUUCUGAACUGUGUUACUGUAUACAUCCUGGCGGUUCAACUGUCUAGAGUCUUUGGUACUGAGGAAAACAAAAAAUUGUACUUAGACUUGAGCUUGGGACUGAAUUUGUACAACAAGUAUAUAUGCAUCU